rnacentral:rRNA from 1 species
UUACUAGAGUAGCACUCGCAUAUCAAUAAGCGGAGGAAAAGAAACUAACAAGGAUUCCCCUAGUAACGGCGAGUGAAGCGGGAAGAGCUCAAAUUUGAAAUCUUAAAGGGUUUCCCUUUACGAAUUGUAGUUUAAAGAAGUGUUUUCUGUUGAGGUUUUGGUAAAAGUUCUUUGGAAUAGGACAUCAUAGAGGGUGAGAAUCCCGUAUUUGACCUUUACUUUCAACUUUGUGAUACACUUUCAAAGAGUCGGAUUGUUUGGGAAUGCAGUCCAAAAUGGGUGGUAAAUUUCAUCUAAAGCUAAAUAUUGGCGAGAGACCGAUAGCGAACAAGUACCGUGAGGGAAAGAUGAAAAGAACUUUGAAAAGAGAGUUAAACAGUACGUGAAAUUGUCAAAAGGGAAGCGUUUGACACCAGUGUUGUUUUUCUGAAAAUCAAUUAAAGAACUGUUUAUGCUAAGCUGUUUAGACUUUAUCAGCUAUCUGUUUAGUUUUGAGCUUUUCUUUAAUGCACUUUUCAGUUAACAAGUCAACAUCAAUUUCUUUUGCUGUAAAAAAGCUUGAGGAAGGUGGCUUGAGAUUCGUCUUAAGUGUUUAUAGCCUCUUGCCUAUGCAGUCGGAGAGAUUGAGGUCUGCAGCGUAGAUCCUUCGGGGCUAAAUGCAUUUGUGCUAAGUUAUAGCAUUUUAUAGACAACUUAUUGACUAUGAUUUGUCUUGUAGCUUACUCGCUUAUGUUAUUUUACCUACGCUUAGGAUGUUGAACUACUGAGACAUAGA